rnacentral:tRNA from 1 species
GAGAAGAGUUGAGAAACACAGAAACUGCUAAUUAUCUGAUUCCAUAGUUAAAAUCCAUGGUCUGCUCA